GCAAAACUCAAAAAAUAGAUCUCAGUUCGGACUGUAGGCUGCAACUCGCCUACACGAAGUUGGAAUUGCUAGUAAUCGUGGAUCAGCAUGCCACGGUGAAUACGUUCCCGGGUCUUGUACACACCGCCCGUCACACCAUGGGAGCUGGUAACACCCGAAGUCAGUAGUCUAACCGCAAGGAGGACGCUGCCGAAGGUGGGAUUAGCGGCUGGGGUGAAGUCGUAACAAGGUACC
rnacentral:rRNA from 1 species